UUUGAUUAACGUAGUUGAAAAUAAAUGGUAGGUUUUAAAAUGGAAUCCAGUGUACCACCAAAAUUAAGAACCUUAAAGCAUUAUGGUAUUUUAUUCAUUGAACUACUACAUUGCAACAAGUGCAGUAAUUAAGCUUAAAAUAAAGUCACAAUUUUAUCGUUUGUUGUCGCAGGGCGUGCAAUAUAGUGACAGUAGAGUCAUGGCCGCAAAGCGUGACCGUUUAAUGCUUUCCUUCCGCAAACUUUGAUGCACGGCGAUCGUACCGCGAAGCAAAAGGACCACAACAAGAAGCUUUUCAGAUUACUUUAAUCAGUUGUUGACAUUAGGAAAAAGAAAGGGGUGCAGACGGCGAGCAUUUUCACAAAAAGGAUGCAGAAUUAUCAUAAGAGAUCUCUGAGCCGGCGAUUAACGACUGGAAGCUCAUUUUGUUUAAGAUUUGAAGUUUAAAAAAGCCAGCAUUCAGAUGAUGAAGUCUUUUCACUAUUCACCUGGUCAUUUGUUGACCCCUAGAUUGCAAUUAAUGAUGCACUAUAAUUAAAAGGAAAUGAUGAAUUUAAUUCAGUGGAUCCUCAGAUUAUGUUUAUUAGAUUUGAAAACUGACCCUCGGUGCCCCGGUUGUGAAGGAAUAUUUCGGAUAUAUGUAUGAGCCUUGUAACUUGUUGCCUAUGUUAAAAGGAUGUUAAAAUCAAACACAUGAAACAUCCGAUGAUUCUCCACUGUUUUAUACACGGUUCCUUGAUCACAGUUUAAACAAUUAUUUAAGACAUCUUUGUUAACACUUUUCGGAUAUUAUUUCAAACGAUUUCCAAUGUUCAACUUAAACAAGAAAUACUCUAUUGAAAAUCGUACUCGAUCGUGGAUAACAAAUCACAGAUAUAACGCGACCAACAUACUCAAGAAAACUGAGAAUUGUCGCCUUAUAUCAGAGAUAUCCAUCCAAAGUCAGACCUCCUUCCGAUCGGCCCCCACUCCGUCUAUUCCCCUUAGAGUACCUUAUUACUCCCAUGGUAUCAAUUGGUAUAUUUUAUUCUUUUGAAAAUAAUUGACUAUAGAAAGAAAUGAUUGCUUAAGAAAUUCAAUUUUUAAUAAUAAAAGUAGAUAUAUUGAAGACAUAUUAAUAUUAUAGAAAGCUCUUUAUUCUCUUCAAUAGAGAUUAUCUUCUUUCUUCUGUUACAAACUUUAAAUUACUUCAAUAGUAUAUUGAGUUAUUAACGUAAGUAUUCUUUUAUAAAAUACUUACGAUAAAAAAUUUGAUUUUUCCACAAAUGUAUAACGAAAGUAAAAGUUAUUAAGAGAAGGAGAGGAGUAGGGGUGACCGGGGUUAAUUGACUAAUGGAAUUAGUUGACUAAUUGCCUUUAAGUUUUACAUUACAUAAUAGGUGGUGCUUUUAUUCAAUCUUUUGAAACUAUGUCAUGCGUUAUUGUUAUAUAAUUUUGCAUUUUAUAUCAGUGAGAGCAGAAAAUGGUAACUAAAUAUUCUUCUUCUGACUAUUAAUGAAUUUUUAUCCAGUUGUUGUGAAUAUUUUAUAGAAGUAUAAUAUAUUAACUAUAAUUUACCGUUUUUACUUUAUUCAUUGCGUGAAGGUUAUGAACAUGCAUCAAUCAAAAUGUUAUAUAUAAAUAAAUGUCGAACGGGGUUGUUUGACUAAUCAUAAUCGGGGUUAUUUGACUUACAAGGAAGGGUUUAUAGGUGUACGCCUCCGAUUGUUUUGAUUUUUUGGAUAUGUUUUAAAGGACCGAAAAAUAAGAUAUACGUAUUUUUUUAUUUUUGCCCGUUUUCAUAUUUAGGGGGUGAAUCGACCCCCUAAAAUCCUGAAAACGUACAUAUGAUGUUUUUGUGCUAUCUGAGUAAGCUGUUGUGGGAACUUUCAAGGAAAUCCUGGAGAGUAUCAGUGGACGGAAGAUAAUGCUAUCUUGAAAGAAUGCAAGUAAGGCCGAUCAAAAAUUAUUUUUGCAAAAUCUUCU